rnacentral:piRNA from 1 species
UAAAAUGCCCGUGAUUGGUAGAGUCUGC